UACGUAGGGUGCGAGCGUUAAUCGGAAUUACUGGGCGUAAAGCGUGCGCAGGCGGUUUUGUAAGCCAGAUGUGAAAAUCCCCGGGCUUAACCUGGGAACUGCAUUUGGGACUGCAAGGCUUGAGUACGGGCAGAGGGGGGGUAGAAUUCCUGGUGUAGCAGUGAAAUGCGUAGAUAUCAGGAGGAAUACCGAUGGCGAAGGCAGCCCCCUGGGUCGAUACUGACGCUCAUGCACGAAAGCGUGGGGAGCAAACAGG
rnacentral:rRNA from 1 species